GCCCUUCCCAGUGGCGGCGAGCCCGGGCGCCUCCCGCGAAUCAGUGCGCGGGAGCUCGAUUAGUCACCCUGAGCCUCCGCUCCCGGGCUGCGCCGAGGCUGCCAGAAACCGCGGCCCGCGGCGGUGCCGCUUGCAGGUAGCGCCCGGCCGCGCUUGCCAGGCGGGAAGGACGCGCCCCCUUGGAGACGCCGCCGCGGGGCGCGCAGCCGGCGUGGGCGAGAGCAUCCUUCGCGUCGGCGCGCCGCGUGAGUAAUCCCGGAGCUCGAGGGGAGCCGAGCCCCGCUUCCAGGAGUGCUGGUCUUCUGGGCACCAUUUCGACCUUUGCAACAUUCAGCAGAAUCCCAAGACUCAAUUGUAUGUAUGUGCCACAAAUUGCAAACAAGUGCAUAAUUUACGAGCAAUGUUGUCAACUGACCAGAAAAUACCUGGCCUGCUCUUGUGGCAUGAACGACAGCUUUAUGUACAGAAAUUGGUCGGUGCCAUUUUCUCACAGCCUGGCAACUGGUAAAACCUGUUAAAGACACAGCUGCAGUGACAGGUUGAAAAGUUGUCAGCCCCAUUUAAAAGUCGAGAUUAUUUUCCCUCUUUAUGCAUCAGUAAUCGUGUGAGACCAGGACCAAGAUCAUCUGUGCUAUUGUAUUUGCAAUCGCUAUGUAUGGGUGUGAAAGCUGGACCGUGAAGAAAGCUGACAGGAAGAAAAUUGAUGUGUUCCAGACAUGGUCACUUGGAGGAGCGCUGUGUGAAUACUUGGGACUGGCAGAAAGACAAACAAGUCGGUCCUUGAUCAAAUCAAGGCAGAACUUUCCCUGAUGCUGUCCUGCUUGUGGCACAUCAUGAGAAAGCAAGACUCUCUGGAGACGGCCAUCAUGCUGGGAAGAGUUGCAGGUAGAAGGAAAGGAAGACCAGAUAAGAGAUGGAUGUUCUCCGUAAAGGAAACCGCAGCCUUGAAUUUAGAACAGCUAAGAAGGGCUGUCCUGGAUAGGACAUUUUGGGGGGCUUUCGUUCAUAGGGUUGCCAUAAGUCUGAGAGGACUUGAUGGCACACAACGGCAACAAAGUCAGUUGGGGCCCUCUUUUGAAGCAAAGAGAUUUGUCCCUUUGGUAUGCCUGCCUAAUACGCUGACCCACCUAGGGUGCAUUCCUACAACCCCACACUUCAUCUUGAGCCCUGCCCUGGCCCACCUGCAGCCGAAAUGCGUGUGUUGAGCACUCCCCUCCCCAGGUCACAGCCGAGCCUUGGAGAGGGGGAAGAAAGGGGGUCAGAAAGAGGAGGCACCUGGGCCCAUGAAUUUAUGCUGAUUUCUGCCAAUUCCCAUUGCCCCAAUUUGCUCUGGUGCUUUAUCCAGAUAGCCAAAAGCUGCUGUCUAGAUACAAUACCUGACAAAAGAUGCAGCGGUAGAAAUGCUGUCGCGGUGCCUUGUUUGGAGCACAGGAUGCGAGUGAACCUCCAAGUUCGGGGGCUCACAUGCACUGAGGCCGCAGGACACAGUCUUGCACCUUGUCUCGGUUGUGUGUGCCCUGAUGUGGUGGUGCAAGAAAUUGUGGCUGCUGUGAAAUAAUUGUGUGACAUUUGAGGUGCUUUCUUACUGUGAACUGAAGCAAGCAGGCUGGAUGUUUUUUUGUGCUGGAAAACUUGGUACCAAUAAAACUCUCCAUUCUGUUCCAGGAUGGGGUUUCUGAGUGGGUGGAAUUGUAA